AAAUAACACUAGCAUUUUGACAUAUUUGGAGCUGCUACUGGGCCAGCUCUGUUUCCAGGCCUGCCUUUCAAUCUUUUCCUUGCUUCUGGCAUGAGUUACCAUCUCUUUUAAGAAAUUGGUUAUGCAUUUGAAAAUACACGUAGCUAUACAUACUUUAAACAUAUCAUUUAGCAAGGAUGCUCCUUAUCGGACCGUUGCUGGGAACAGAGAACACGACAGUUCCAGGUUCCUGCCAAUUAUAGAGGCAGUCCUAUUUCAAAAUGCCAUUAAGCAUCCUUCUGAGCUGCGGAAAGUCAUAGGACCAGUCUUCAGCCGUGCCCAUUACAGUAGCAGUGACAGCACACCACUUUGCUCAUGAUACGGAUCAGGGUUAAUUUUCAAGUUUUGGAUGGUUCUCCCUCUUUGAGUUACCAUUUGUUUCUGCUUAUAACCUACUGAUCAUGCCUUUAGUACUAAGUAAAUAUUGAAAAGGGAAAGCCUUAGGUGGCUUGCGAAGGCUCUGAUGUAAAUAUGUGUUGCUGAGACGGGGAAGUGAAGGUGUUGGAUUAUGCAUGACUUUCACAUGUGUUCUUAUACCACAUU
rnacentral:lncRNA from 1 species